GCCACACGUGUGAGCUGCAUUUGCUUUAGAGGUGGACUCCAGGCUCCAUGGGAGUUGCCAGGAUAACAGCAGUAGUCCUGCUGCAAAAGGAAUGAAGGAGCAGCUUUGGUGGGUGCCUGGAAUUCAGCUAGAGUCAACCAACUACAUAAAGAAGUUUCUGACUUGGGAAUUGUAGUGCUUAUCACCAGCCGAGGAAAAGUAGCAAGUGGCAAGAAAUUGGCUAAAUGGCACUGCGGAACCAAGUAUGAUUUCAGUGCUGCUUCCUGAAGCUGCUGAUAAAAUAUUCAUUCUUGCCUGUCCUUGAAAUCUGCCUUGU
rnacentral:lncRNA from 1 species